CUUUGUUAUCUAUUCCAUUAGGAACUGCAGAUUUUUUGGUACAUCAUAUUCAUGCAUUUACAAUUCAUGUGACGGUAUUGAUACUCCUAAAAGGUGUUCUAUUUGCUCGUAGCUCACAAUUGAUACCGGAUAAAGCAAAUCUUGGUUUUCGGUUCCCUUGUGAUGGCCCUGGAAGAGGGGGGACAUGCCAAGUAUCCGCUUGGGAUCAUGUCUUCCUAGGAUUAUUUUGGAUGUACAAUGCAAUUAAAAGCAAAUCUUGGUUUUCGGUUCCCUUGUGAUGGCCCUGGAAGAGGGGGGACAUGCCAAGUAUCCGCUUGGGAUCAUGUCUUCCUAGGAUUAUUUUGGAUGUACAAUGCAAUUUCUGUAGUAAUAUCCCAUUUCAGUUGGAAAAUGCAGUCAGAUGUUUGGGGAAGUAUAAAUGAUCAAGGAGUAGUAACUCAUAUCACAGGAGGAAACUUUGCGCAGAGUUCGAUUACCAUUAAUGGGUGGCUUCGCGAUUUCUCAUGGGCGCAGGCAUCCCAGGUAAUUCAGUCUUAUGGUUCCUCAUUAUCUGCAUAUGGUCUUUUUUUCUUAGGCGCCCAUUUUGUAUGGGCUUUUAGUUUAAUGUUUCUAUUCAGCGGGCGUGGUUAUUAGCAAGAACUUAUUGAAUCCAUCGUUUGGGCUCAUAAUAAAUUAAAAGUUGCUCCUGCUACUCAGCCUAGAGCCUUGAGCAUUGUACAGGGACGUGCUGUAGGAGUAACACAUUACCUUCUGGGUGGAAUAUGGUUCCUCAUUAUCUGCAUAUGGUCUUUUUUUCUUAGGCGCCCAUUUUGUAUGGGCUUUUAGUUUAAUGUUUCUAUUCAGCGGGCGUGGUUAUUGGCAAGAACUUAUUGAAUCCAUCGUUUGGGUUCAUAAUAAAUUAAAAGUUGCUCCUGCUACUCAGCCUAGAGCCUUGAGCAUUGUACAGGGACGUGCUGUAGGAGUAACACAUUACCUUCUGGGUGGAAUUGCCACAACGUGGGCAUUCUUCUUAGCAAGAACUAUUGCAGUAGGAUAAUGGCUAGGAGGAUUUGAAAAGCAUUAUGGCAUUAAGAUUUCCAAGGUUUAGCCAAGGCUUAGCUCAGGACCCCACUACUCGUCGUAUUUGGUUUGGUAUUGCUACCGCACAUAACUUCGAGAGUCAUGAUGAUAUUACUGAGGGACGUCUUUAUCAGAAUAUUUUUGCUUCUCAUUUCGGACAAUUAGCAAUAAUUUUUCUGUGGACUUCCGGGAAUCUCUUCCAUGUAGCUUGGCAAGGAAAUUUUGAGGCAUGGGUACAGGAUCCUUUACAUGUAAGACCUAUUGCUCAUGCAAUUUGGGAUCCCCAUUUUGGUCAACCGGCUGUAGAAGCUUUUACUCGAGGGGGUGCUCUUGGCCCAGUGAAUAUUGCCUAUUCCGGUGUUUAUCAGUGGUGGUAUACAAUUGGUUUACGUACUAAUGAGGAUCUUUAUACUGGAGCUAUUUUUCUAUUAUUUCUUUCUUUCAUAUCCUUAUUAGCGGGCUGGUUACCCCUACAACCGAAAUGGAACCCGAGCGUUUCCUGGUUUAAAAAUGCCGAAUCCCGCCUCAAUCAUCAUUUGUCAGGACUAUUUGGAGUCAGUUCCUUAGCUUGGGCAGGGCAUUUAGUCCAUGUGGCUAUUCCAGGAUCCAGAGGAGAUUAUGUUCGAUGGAAUAAUUUCUUAAGUGUAUUGCCUCACCCUCAAGGAUUAGGGCCACUUUUUACAGGUCAGUGGAAUCUUUAUGCUCAAAACCCCGAUUCUAGUAAUCAUUUAUUUAGUACUUCGCAAGGUGCGGGAACUGCCAUUCUAACACUUCUCGGGGGAUUCCAUCCUCAAACGCAAAGUUUAUGGCUUACCGAUAUGGCCCAUCAUCAUUUAGCUAUUGCAAUUCUUUUUCUCAUUGGUGGUCAUAUGUAUAGAGCUAAUUUCGGUAUUGGGCACAGUAUAAAAUAUAUUUUAGAAGCACAUAUUCCUCCGGGGGGUAGAUUGGGGCGUGGACAUAAGGGUCUUUAUGACACAAUCAAUAAUUCAAUUCAUUUUCAAUUAGGAUUCGGUAUUGGGCACAGUAUAAAAUAUAUUUUAGAAGCACAUAUUCCUCCGGGGGGUAGAUUGGGGCGUGGACAUAAGGGUCUUUAUGACACAAUCAAUAAUUCAAUUCAUUUUCAAUUAGGCCUUGUUCUAG
rnacentral:lncRNA from 1 species